rnacentral:lncRNA from 1 species
UUUAAUACUCUGUUUCAUAUAAUGGGGAACAUUUAAUAAGGAUUCAAGCCCAUGCUCAAUAUUUAAUACUCUGUUUCAUAUAAUACUAGUGAAGGGCCGUGCUUUACAGAAGAUAGAAAUUGUAUGAGCAAUUGAUAAUAAGAGAAAAUUAAAUAUUUUCUUCUGUAUAUUAAGUGUCGCAUCCACCAAAAUGUUCUUUACUGUUGGCCCCGAAGAUGGGCCCAACGAUGCUCUCUCCGGUGAGAGAGAGAGAGAGAGGAAGAGAGACAAUGAUGUAUAGACAAAGAUGAGGGAGAGAGAAUUGAUGAAUUAAUUAGAGAUGGAAAUGUGAAAAUUAUAGAUACUGACGAACUGUUUAGAUACAUUAAUUAGAAGCCUAAUAGAGAAAAGAGAAAGGAUCAUGAUAAAUUAAUUAGUGAUAGAGGUGAGGAUUGUAGAUGGUAGUGGGAUUAUUUAGAUGCAUUAAUUAGAAGUUUGCUAGAGAUCACAACACUUAUGAGGAUAAAAGAAAACUUACUAUAUGGCAGAAAAUAUUAAAAAUUUAUAUAGCCUAAUAAAUAUGUAUAUAUAUAUAUAUAGAGAGAGAGAGAGAGAGAGAGAGAGAGAGAGAGAGAUAGUAAGGUUUCUUCUACUAGGUCUUAAUAAUGCUCAUGUGUUUAAUUUUUUGAGUUGAGCUGGAAUGCUAUUAGUAGCAAACGAGUUUCGUUGCCACUUAUUUUUUUUUGAUGAUAGAGCAACCAAAUCAACAAUCAGUACCAUUGAAUAUGAUGUCUACCACUUGAAUAAUUUAGAAACCAAAUUUUAAAUUUUUUUGACAUCAUUGACCUAAUUAUCAAAAGGUUUAAAAAUUUAUAAUUUAAUGGUCGAUAUAAGACGUUUUCUCAUUUAACGGUGUAAAGAUAUUCAAAUUAAUUGAAUUUUGGUUAGAAAAUUUUUUAAACUAUUUAGAAUAAGAUCUAUACUCUCGAUCUUGAUUAUAAGAUUCCUACAUCACUCUUUAGAGGAUAUUCAUUUUCAGCCGUUUAUUUUUGUGUCCACUUAAUGGACAAGAGAACAAUAUCGGAAAAGUAUGAAAUUUGGUUUCUAGAUGCUUCAAGUGGUAUAGAUCAUAUUCAAUUGUGCCGAUUGUCGAUUUGGAGGCUCCAUCAUCGAAAAAAAGGGCGGCGACAAAAUCCGUUUACUACCGAUAACAUUCCAGCUCAACUCUUAAUUUUUACACAUAUACAAAAUUUUGACAAAUAAAUCUCAAUCUCUCUCUCUCCUUCUCCCUCUAGAUCUCUCUACAUACCUCCAAUUGACAAUUUUCUAAAU